AUUUUUCAAACCGGCUCGGCAUUGGGGGUGUUGGUCAAUUGACGAAUUAAAGUAAGAUUCACCGCCCAUUCGCUUUGCUCAUUCGAGUCGCAAAGAGCGCAAAGAAUAUUGGUUUUAUGUUUGCCGCUUUGCGGUGAAUUUAAUGUCAAAUGGACAGUUAAGCACUAAGAAGUGCUCCUGCACAAACAUGAAGUAUUAACCAGUCCUAAUGGUGGGGUGAAAUGGAAAAUAUCCUUGUCAUUUUAAUCGUCGGGCUUGCGGCCUUCUUUCUCGGUCGCAGUUAUUAUAAAAAAUACAAAAAAAAGGGUCAAUGCAGCUGUGGAUGCACUUCCUGUCCGACGGAUGCAUCGG
rnacentral:rRNA from 1 species